UCACUCUGGCUUCUCUUCAACGUAUGAUUCUUUCGCCUUUUACUAAAGAAUUCCGUGGAGAGGAGCAGUUCAAUGAGUCUUGAACGUUUUU
rnacentral:snRNA from 1 species